rnacentral:lncRNA from 10 species
AGAAGAAUCUGGAAAGUUCUCAACAGAUAAAUCUCACAGAAGGAAUUUCAAGAAUGAGAUUAAUCCAUGAACAAUGACAAAAAAGCAACCAACAAAAAACACAAGAGUGGCAGGAGAUGCAGGAAAUCAUUUCAUCUCUUCCAAGGAAUAUCUGGUUUAGAGCUGCCUUGUUCUUUAUAAUCACACUCCUCUGUGUUCCAAGAAAUGGCUGAACGCAAAGGAUGACCCUGGCCUCACAUAUUCCAAGAUAAAAUCCACCUUCACCUUCUUCCAGGACUCAGAUGAGCCCCACCACCACCCAGGUUUUCUC